GUGCUCGAUUCGGCAGCAACAUAUACUAAACUUGGAUCGAUACAGGAGAGAAUUAGCAUGGCCCCUGCGAAGGAAUGACACGCAAAUCCGUGAAGCGCUCCAUAUUUCC
rnacentral:snRNA from 1 species